UACGAGGGGGCGAGCGUUGUUCGGAAUUAUUGGGCGUAAAGGGUGCGUAGGCGGUUUGGUAAGUCUGAUGUGAAAUCUAUGGGCUCAACUCAUAGUCUGCAUCGGAAACUGCCGGGCUUGAGUGUGGGAGAGGCGAGUGGAAUUUCUGGUGUAGCGGUGAAAUGCGUAGAUAUCAGAAGGAACACCCAUGGCGAAGGCAGCUCGCUGGCCUACAACUGACGCUGAGGCGCGAAAGCGUGGGGAGCAAACAGG
rnacentral:rRNA from 1 species